GAUAUCCAUAAUUUAUGGUACAAAUUGAUACAAAUUGAUAAUAGGUUAGGUAAAUGUUCCAUGAUAAUGGGUUAGGUAAAUGUUUCAUGAUAAUAGGUUAGGUAAAUGUUCCAUGAUAAUGGGUUAGGUAAAUGUUUCAUGAUAAUGGGUUAGGUAAAUGUUUCAUGAUAAGAAUAUCAUGUCUUUUGUAUUAAAGAAUUAAAUGGAUGAAAUAUGAAGUUUUAUUAAAAGAAAAAGGGGUGAAAAGAACAAAGUUUUGUCCAUCUUUGUUCAUCAUAGCUGAAAGUUAGAGAAGAGAAGGAGAGGAGAAAGCUCUUGAGUAUUCGGUCAUUAGGAGGAGGAAAAUUGAAGGAAAUCCCCAACCAUAGUGGGCUUGGAGCUGUGAGGGAAUUCGGAGUGGCCACCCGUUCUGAAAGUUUGAUUUUCUUCUGGUGAACUGGACAUCCUUUUAUUUACAUUUGAAGUUUUUGGGCUUUUAAAUGUAAUAAGGCCGCUUAAUUAUUUUUGAUGGUUUUAAUAUGUAUUACUAAGAUAGGUAAUACUUAUAUUUAACUGUUGAAACUGGAUAGCUUUAGGGCGCGUUUUCAAAAACAACAGUUGAUUUCAAAAUAACACGACAACAAGCAAAGCUUCCGCAAUGAAA